rnacentral:rRNA from 1 species
CCCUUAGAGUUUGAUCCUGGCUCAGAGCGAACGCUGGCGGCAGGCUUAACACAUGCAAGUCGAGCGCCCCGCAAGGGGAGCGGCAGACGGGUGAGUAACACGUGGGAACGUACCCUUCAGUUCGGAGCAACCCAGGGAAACUUGGGCUAAUACCGGAUAAGCCCUUACGGGGAAAGAUUUAUCGCUGAAGGAUCGGCCCGCGUCUGAUUAGCUAGUUGGUGGGGUAAUGGCCCACCAAGGCUACGAUCAGUAGCUGGUCUGAGAGGAUGAUCAGCCACAUUGGGACUGAGACACGGCCCAAACUCCUACGGGAGGCAGCAGUGGGGAAUAUUGGACAAUGGGGGAAACCCUGAUCCAGCCAUGCCGCGUGAGUGAUGAAGGCCCUAGGGUUGUAAAGCUCUUUUAGCAGGGAAGAUAAUGACGGUACCUGCAGAAAAAGCCCCGGCUAACUUCGUGCCAGCAGCCGCGGUAAUACGAAGGGGGCUAGCGUUGCUCGGAAUCACUGGGCGUAAAGCGCACGUAGGCGGCUUCUUAAGUCAGGGGUGAAAUCCUGGAGCUCAACUCCAGAACUGCCUUUGAUACUGGGAAGCUUGAGUCCGGGAGAGGUGAGUGGAACUGCGAGUGUAGAGGUGAAAUUCGUAGAUAUUCGCAAGAACACCAGUGGCGAAGGCGGCUCACUGGCCCGGUACUGACGCUGAGGUGCGAAAGCGUGGGGAGCAAACAGAUUAGAUACCCUGGUAGUCCACGCCGUAAACGAUGAAUGCUAGCCGUUGGCGGGCUUGCCCGUCAGUGGCGCAGCUAACGCUUUAAGCAUUCCGCCUGGGGAGUACGGUCGCAAGAU